ensembl:miRNA
AGUUUUGCUGGUUUGCAUUCAGCUUUAACGGGUGUUUGCUGUGCAAAUCCAUGCAAAACUG